rnacentral:tRNA from 1 species
GCCGGAGUAGCUCAGUUGGCAGAGCAGCGCUCUUGUAAAGCGCAGGUCGUCGGUUCGAGUCCGACCUCCGGCU